rnacentral:rRNA from 1 species
AAACUUCGGAAGGAUGGGAAGAAUAAUUUUAGGAUAAUACCUUAGAAGAUGACGGUACCAUCUUUAAGCCCCGGCUAACUACGUGCCAGCAGCCGCGGUAAUACGUAGGGGGCAAGCGUUGUUCGGAUUUACUGGGCGUAAAGGGCGCGUAGGCGGCGUGGUAAGUCACUUGUGAAAUCUCCGGGCUCAACUCGGAACGGUCAAGUGAUACUGCUGUGCUAGAGUGCGGAAGGGGCUACUGGAAUUCUCGGUGUAGCGGUGAAAUGCGUAGAUAUCGAGAGGAACACCUGAGGCGAAGGCGGGUAGCUGGGCCGACACUGACGCUGAUGCGCGAAAGCUAGGGAAGCGAACGGGAUUAGAUACCCCGGUAGUCCUAGCCUUAAACGAUGGAUGCUUGGUGUCUGAGGUUUUAUAUUCCUCGGGUGCCGUCGCUAACGCAUUAAGCAUCCCGCCUGGGGAGUACGGUCGCAAGACUGAAACUCAAAGGAAUUGACGGGGACCCGCACAAGCGGUGGAGCAUGUGGUUUAAUUCGACGCAACGCGAAGAACCUUACCUGGACUAGAAUGCCUCGGACAGUCCCGUAAUGGGGAUCUCUUGGGUAACACCAAGCCGAGUGCAA